UCCUGGUUAGCGCAGUUGCUACAGCGCUCCACUGGAAAUGGAGAGGUCCAUGGUUCGAUACAAGGACCAGGCG
rfam:Ixodes scapularis strain Wikel colony gcontig_1107728585588, whole genome shotgun sequence.